AUCGUUCAUCUCCAUAUCGGAGACGGAAGUAGGAAAAAAUUCCGAAGGAACGCGCC
rnacentral:ncRNA from 2 species